ACGGAAGGCAGCAGCUAAGAAUAUUCCGCAAUGGACGAAAGUCUGACGGAGCGACGCCGCGUGAACGAUGAAGGUCGAAAGAUUGUAAAGUUCUUUUGUUAGUGAGGAAUAAGUGGAGUAGGGAAUGACUUCAUGGUGACUGUAGCUAAUGAAUAAGCAACGGCUAAUUACGUGCCAGCAGCCGCGGUAACACGUAAGUUGCGAGCGUUGUUCGGAAUUAUUGGGCGUAAAGGGCAUGUAGGCGGUCGUGAAAGUCUGUAGUGAAAUCCCUGGGCUUAACCCAGGAACUGCUAUGGAAACUGCAGGACUAGAAUUACUGAAGGGCAACUGGAAUUCCAAGUGUAGGGGUGAAAUCUGUAGAUAUUUGGAAGAACACCAAUGGCGAAGGCAAGUUGCUGGCAGAUAAUUGACGCUGAGGUGCGAAGGUGCGGGGAGCAAACAGGAUUAGAUACCCUGGUA
rnacentral:rRNA from 1 species